UCAAAUUGUAAUUCUCUAGCGUAGAAGUCCCUUGAGGCAAAGCUUGCCUUUUCCUUUGGUGUUUACAUGAUUCCUUGCCCAGCAGGGGACUUUGCUGGUGGCCAACCACCCCAACCUUCUGCUUCUGAUUAGUUUGUUUGGUCACCUCUCCUGUGUGGCAGUCUUUGUACCUUACACAUAAGGAUGCCCACAAUUUAUCAGCUUUCUAGGUGAAAGAGUUCUUCAGGUUCUAAUGUGCUAUG